CGGCGGCGGGAAACAGCAGCUCGGCGGCGUUAGGGCCCGGCAGAGACCGAUCCGGCCGGGAGCAGCUGGCCCCGCGCCUCCAGUAGCCCCGAUGGACGUGGAUGGGGGAACGGCCGCACCGCUCCGCCGGCGCCAUCUAGCCCGCCUGCCCACCCCACUUACGUGAUCUCUCAGCGUAGAAGGCCGCGCUGCCCCACCGCUCGCUAUUUCUACUACGCGGGUCUCGCGAGAGCACCGCCCGGCGGUGUACGCCCCGCGCGCUGAAUGGGGAAUACAGUGCUGUGUAGAGCGACGCUUUCCUCUCAGUUAUACAGGGUGCGGGGCAGGCAGACCUAUCGGCCGCCGUGCGCAUGCGCGCGACCACUAUAUAAAGGGGCGCGCAGCACAGACCGCUCAGUCUGAGGCGAGCGGAGGGUGCUGAGCGCGGCCUCCCCGGGCAGGCGGAUCUGCCCGGGCCGCGGCGUGCGGGGCCUGUGCUAGUCUCGCCCCUUCGGAGUGAUUCCUCCCGCCUCGCCGCCUGCAGAGCUGACCCUUGCGAAGAAGAGGGGAUGCUGCUAUGGACGACGACGGAGCACUCACAGCUGGAGCCAUUUGAAAUGAUUCGGUUACGUGGUUUUAUAUGCAAUAAAAGAUGAGCUAGUUGAGAGCUCGUUCGUCAA